AACCAUCAAAUCAUCAUAUCACUUUCUUUUUCUCUUACCUCUUCCUCUUUCCCAUUUCUUCAACCCAAUCUUGAAGACAAAGAAUGAACACUCUUCAAAAUCAGGAGAAAUAAACAAUAACCACCACCAGCAACCACCUCCUCCGGCGAAACUCACCGGGCUUCUUCUCCGGCUCUCUCUCUCCUCAAUCUUUAGAAGCAAAUGAAGGGUCUGAAUGUUGUUUUAGAGAGAGAACGAUGACAACAAUCUUCAUCAUGUUCAUCUAUAACACCAAGAACACACAUACAAGUGUAAGAGAGAGAGAGGAAGUUUGAACACACAUACAGACGACUCGGGUCAGAUUCAUGUUCAGAAAUAAUGAUAUACGGUUGACGAUUUUGUUGGUUUGGUUGCUGUUUGGGCUUUUGAUCUGAAUAAAACAGAUCCAUAAAGAUAUUCAAUUGACAAGCUGGAUGGAUGUAGGCGACGUUAAUGUGGGGACAUUGAAUAAGUCAAAUCUUUUAGGAAAGAAGUUUUCGUUCGUUUAUAACAUGUGUUAGUGGUUCAUGUUGUAACAGAUCCAUAAACAAGUUUUCAUGUUGUAACAAGUUUUCGUUCGUU